CCAAAUUAAGGUGAAACCGCGAAAGGCUCAUUAUAUCAGUUAUGGUUCAAUAGAUCGUACUCAGUUACAUGGAUAACUGCGGAAAUACUGGAGCUAAUACAUGCCAACAGAGUCCCGACCGGUGACGGAAGGGACGCUUUUAUUAGAUCAAAACCAAUCGGUCGCUUCGGCGAUCGUGCAGUCUUGGUGACUCUGAAUAACUUUGGGCUGAUCGCACGGCCUCCGUGCCGGCGACGCAUCUUUCAAAUGUCUGCCUUAUCAACUGUCGAUGGUAGGUUCUGCGCCUACCAUGGUUGUAACGGGUAACGGGGAAUCAGGGUUCGAUUCCGGAGAGGGAGCCUGAGAAACGGCUACCACAUCCAAGGAAGGCAGCAGGCGCGCAAAUUACCCACUCCCGGCUCGGGGAGGUAGUGACGAAAGAUAACGAUACGGGACUCAUCCGAGGCCCCGUAAUCGGAAUGACUACACUUUAAAUCCUUUAAGGAGUAUCAAUGAGAGGGCAAGUCUGGUGCCAGCAGCCGCGGUAAUUCCAGCUCUCAUAGCGUAUAUUAAAGUUGUUGCGGUUAAAAAGCUCGUAGUUGGAUCUGUGUCCCGCACCGUCGGUACGCCGCCCGUCGGUGCUAACUGGCGUGCUGCGGGACGUCCUGCCGGUGGCGCGUCUAGCUGGUGGUGCUUUCGGGCGCCAUCGGGCGGCGCCGAUUCAAUCCCGCUGCGGUGCUCUUUACUGAGUGUCGAGGUGGGCCGGCACGUUUACUUUGAACAAAUUAGAGUGCUCAAAGCAGGCUGGAUACGCCUGGAUAAUUUUGCAUGGAAUAAUGGAAUAGGACCUCGGUUCUAUUUUGUUGGUUUUCGGAGCCAGAGGUAAUGAUUAAUGGAGACAGGCGGGGGCAUUCGUACUGCGACGUUAGAGGUGAAAUUCUUGGAUCGUCGCAUGACGAACCGAAGCGAAAGCAUUUGCCAAGGAUGUUCUCGUUGAUCAAGAACGAAAGCGGGAGGUUUGAAGGCGAUCAGAUACCGCCCUAAUUCCCGCCGUAAAUAAUGUCUGCUAGCGAUCCGCCAACGUUCCAUUGAUGACUUGGUGGGCAGCUUCCGGGAAACCAAAGCUUUUGGAUUCCGGGGGAAGUAUGGUUGCAAAGCUGAAACUUAAAGGAAUUGACGGAAGGGCACCACCAGGAGUGGAGCCUGCGGCUUAAUUUGACUCAACACGGGAAACCUCACCAGGCCCGGACACUGGAAGGAUUGACAGAUUGAGAGCUCUUUCUUGAUUCAGUGGGUGGUGGUGCAUGGCCGUUCUUAGUUGGUGGAGCGAUUUGUCUGGUUAAUUCCGAUAACGAACGAGACU
rnacentral:rRNA from 1 species